AAUGGACGAAGUCAUGCCAUCGACCUCCACUCCAAUUCGAGUGGCAUUGGGCCUCUCUCCCUCCCCUGGGCCAACUAGCGCAUUCCCUAGCCGCAUAAGAGCUCCCUUCGCUGCAAAUCCUCCUUCCGGUGGCCGCGGAACCUUCCUCCCUCAGCCACCGUCGUCAGCCCCGCCGCGGCCAAGCUCCCGCUCUCCUCGCUGCUUCCCACGUGAAGCUAGGGCAUCAGGCGGGUCCGGCACGCCUCCCUGAGUGCACAGAUGGUUAGGGCCCCACCGGAGGCGACCAGUGUCGUCGAGGGUAGGCGUCGGUGCGCGCUCGGCCGAGCUCCCCUGCCCCUCCCCUGUCUAGGUGGGAGGUGGGAGAAGGGCCUGCCAGGCGGGCCCCGCCUGUAAGCCGCACACCGGUCGGGCCCCUGUUUAAGUGGCCAUGCCCCGGCUGGUAGUCGUUUCCCCCGCACACGAGGCGUAAUAAGGGGAAUACGCCUUCGACCUGGCGAGCCUCCCGCAGGGUUACGGUUGUUGGGCCGGCCCAGUGACUAUCUUACACCCUGGGCACCUCUUAGUCAGUUGGUGAGCCGUUUUCCCUCUUUCUUUUAUUUUAUCACAGAGUUCUAAAAUCCAUAAAUAAUUAUUUAUAACUCCAAAUCUGAUGAUGCAAAUUUCUACAGGUUGCUAAAAUCAAGACCAAUCCAUAUAUGUGCAUUGCACAUUUUUCAUAAAGACUUUUCUAUGGGGUUAAUAUUCAAAUGCCCAUUUGAAUAUUUUAAACACCACCUUUCAAAAAUCCUAGAGGAUUCAAAUCAACUCCAAAUGGAGUGAAUCCAAUUUCCACAGUCUUCUUAUAUCAUGCACUAUUUUUGGAGCACUAGUCAACAUUUUUAUCUGGCAUGCUUCUGUUACAUUAAACAAAUAACUCCUUUCUGCUAUUUAUUCCAUGUUUUAAAAUCCCUAGGAUAUUCAUAUCAACUCCAAAUCCACUAAAACAACUUCCUAAAUAUUUCUAAAUUCAUGCUCUCUUUAUUGAGUGCCUCCACUAAUUUUUAACAGAAUGAUUUCUGUAGGCUUGUUUAAGGAUCACCUAUUCCUCCUUUUGUCCAUUCAAAAUCCUUGAUGGUCCAAAUCUCCUAGAUCAAGCUUCAGGUAUUUUUCUUAUGACCAGAGAGGUCCAAGCAAAAUAAAACUUCCAUUUAUAUAGAACUUUUGUUCUGCUUGCCGUGUGGCUUACUGUGAUUGUUUCCGACGAUAGUUGACGGGUAGACGGAAUACUCGGAGUUGGACCGGAAGACCUCGAAGACCCCGAGGACUUAUGUGAGCAAGGCAAGCAGCCCUUUGACCAUGUCUAAGAAAUACUUCUAUCCAUGACACAUUAGUUACUCUACUCCGAUGCAUAUAGUUAAGAAUGAUCGGUGGACCCCAGCAUGGUGUUUCCGAUAGCUCCUCUAGAGCACUUGCGUUGAGCAUGACCCUAUCAUUUAUGAGGGUCACGCUGAUAAUAUGUUGACAAGUAGACAGUAGUGCUACGCAUAGAAAGAGCAUGUGCAUGAUGAUGGUAACACAGAGUUGAUAUCAAAGGUUUUAUGAAAACCCCGUCGGGUGCCACUAAUGCCUGAGGGUGAUGAUGUUGAGUUGGGUGACCACUUGUGAAAGAAGUUGUGCACCGGGAAUAUUUUGUGUGAGUGGCUUCAGAAAUGGGAUUAGAUUUAUGAUGUGUCGACCGUCCCAACCUUACAUAUACGACCACGAUGCCCCUUUAUGGGACGGGGCUUUGUUGAUUACUUUGGUCGGUGCUAGCAAAAAGCCACAUUACUAGUGGCGGGAGUGAUAUGUGGUCACUCGUGACGGGGUCGUACCAGGUAGGUCGACUAUGCCGUUUUUACGUGUUCCGGGCACACCGUUGGUCCCCGCAUGGAUGAUACGGUCUAGAGUUGGUGCUCGUAAGACGUACAUCAUGUGGGCUGGGUACCAAUCGAGUGAACUCUUUGUCUAGUAUCGUCAGGGGAAAGGCAAUGAUCGGGUACUUACCUCGGGUAUGUUAUAUACCGCGAGUCGUGGAUGACACGGAAAUUUCCUAGAUCUCGUGGGUACAGCGUACAACCUCUGUAGAGUGUAAAACUAUUCGAAUAGCCGUGUCCACGGUCAAGGAUAGUUGGGUAAUCCUGCUUAAACUACGUAUAGUCGUUUCCGCAUAAACCAAGUGUGUGUGUGUGUGUGUNN
rnacentral:lncRNA from 1 species